CCUACGUGGGGCAGCAGUGAGGAAUAUUGGUCAAUGGCCGAGAGGCUGAACCAGCCAAGUCGCGUGAGGGAAGACGUCCCUAUGGGUUGUAAACCUCUUUUAUAUGGGAAUAAAAUGUUCCACGUGUGGGAUUUUGUAUGUACCAUAUGAAUAAGGAUCGGCUAACUCCGUGCCAGCAGCCGCGGUAAUACGGAGGAUCCGAGCGUUAUCCGGAUUUAUUGGGUUUAAAGGGAGCGUAGGUGGAUUGUUAAGUCAGUUGUGAAAGUUUGCGGCUCAACCGUCAAACUGCAGUUGAAACUGGCGGUCUUGAGUACAGGAGAGGUAGGCGGAAUUCGUGGUGUAGCGGUGAAAUGCUUAGAUAUCACGAAGAACCCCGAUUGCGAAGGCAGCUCACUGGACUGCAACUGACGCUGAGGCUCGAAAGCGUGGGUAUCAAACAGGAUUAGAUACCCGAGUAGUC
rnacentral:rRNA from 1 species